AUCCCAUCCCGCAAUCUUCGGGUCAGUAAAACACCAAACAAUUUGAUCAAAGAGUAGUUAGUUCUUAUCAGCUUCUUAUCUGAUACGGGUACUAUCAAAAUGUAAGGCAUUAAACUUAUUUUUGAAAACGGGGUGGAGUGCUUGAAGCCUGCUUCACCUCCGCCACGGUCUUUCCCGGGACUAUGAUGU